rnacentral:rRNA from 1 species
AUGGCGCGCGCGUGGAUCCUGGUGAGGCAGUUCGGGAUCUGCCCUGGCAAAACACGCCCAAUCACGGCGGUUUCCCUCGACGGUGCGGCCACCCUCUGCCUUGACGCCCUCCUACCGCCGCAGCGCCUCCCAGCCAAGGCCCUCCCCCCGGCUCUUCCUCCCCAUCAUUCUAGACCAAGGAGCUCACUUCGCCCCCCAUCAUUGGAGAAACCGUGCACUCCCCCAUUCCUCCUCUCUGAACACACGUCCGUCUCCCUGGAGCAGUCCACACAGCAAAUGCGUGCGGCCAUCAUCGACUCGCCAUGCGUCUCCCUGUGA